rnacentral:rRNA from 1 species
UGCGUAGGCGGGCUUUUAAGUCAGUGGUGAAAACUCCGAGCUUAACUCGGAAACUGCCGUUGAUACUAUUAGUCUUGAAUUUAGUUGAGGUUGGCGGAAUGUGUCGUGUAGCGGUGAAAUGCUUAGAUAUGACACAGAACACCGAUUGCGAAGGCAGCUGGCUAAACUAAAAUUGACGCUGAGGCACGAAAGUGUGGGGAUCAAACA